UGAGUCGCGGCGGGAGAGCCCCGCCCCAUCCAGUUGGCGGGCGCCGCAGGAGCAAAUCCUCCCCAGGAAUCUCUCAGGCACCGGUACCGCCGCGACUAG
rnacentral:ncRNA from 2 species